rnacentral:rRNA from 1 species
AUGGGGGAUCAGGGCAAAGCAUCGUCGUCGUCGUCGUGGUGCCGCGGCCGGCGGGGCCCGGUAGGGUUCGGGCUGGCGCUGGCCCGGCUGGUGCGGAGGAUGCGGAGGCGGAGCAAGAUGCUGCUGUGCACGGCGGCGCCGGCCGCGUCGUCCCGGUACUGCCCGCAGUACGACCCGCUAAGCUACGCGCGCAACUUCGACCGCGACGGCUUCGGCACCGCGCUGCAAGACAGACAGCCUUCCUUUUCUCAUCUGAAGCUUCUGUUGAAUCCAUCUAGCCUAGCCAUGUCUUCCUCCUCCUCCUCCGGUGCCUUCUCUCCCAACCUCAAUAGCCAGGUCACAGAGAAGUUGUCUUGCACGAACUACGUGCUAUGGCGCACGCAGACCACACCUCAACUGCGCGACGCCAGUGUCUACGGCUACGUCGACGACACCACGCCGGAGCCGACGAAGCUCCUCAUCACCACCAAAGAGGGCAAGGAGACUUCAUCGCCCAACCCACUCCACCCUAUAUGGGUCCGGGAGGAUCAGCAAGUCCUUGGCUUCCUGCUGGCCAACCUCACAAAGGAGGUCUUGGUCACGGUGACCACGCUCACCACGGCGAGCGCGCUCUGUGUCUGCGCCUUCGCCACAUUGUCAUUCAUUUCUGAGAUGUUUCUCUUUCUCUAUGUUGGCAUGGAUGAUAUAGAGUAG